UACGGAGGGUGCAAACGUUGCUCGGAAUCAUUGGGCGUAAAGCGCACGUAGGCGGGUCAUCAAGUCGGAUGUGAAAUCCCUCGGCUUAACCGAGGACGUGCAUUCGAAACUGAUGGUCUUGAGUACGAAAGAGGAUCGCGGAAUUCCCGGUGUAGAGGUGAAAUUCGUAGAUAUCGGGAGGAACACCAGUGGCGAAGGCGGCGAUCUGGGUCGAUACUGACGCUGAGGUGCGAAGGCGUGGGGAGCAAACAGG
rnacentral:rRNA from 1 species